rnacentral:rRNA from 1 species
GAUGAACGCUAGCGGCAGGCUUAAUACAUGCAAGUCGAACGGUAAGGUCCCUUCGGGGAUACACGAGUGGCAGACGGGUGAGUAACACGUAUGCAACCUACCUUUAACUGGGGGAUAGCCUCGAGAAAUCGGGAUUAAUACCGCAUAAAAUAUUUAGAUGGCAUCAUUUAGAUAUUAAAAUUCAGGUGGUUAAAGAUGGGCAUGCGGAUCAUUAGCUAGUUGGUAGGGUAACGGCCUACCAAGGCUACGAUGAAUAGCUGGCGUGAGAGCGCGACCAGUCACACGGGCACUGAGACACGGGCCCG